rnacentral:rRNA from 1 species
GUAGGGUGCAAGCGUUGUCCGGAAUUACUGGGUGUAAAGGGUCCGCAGGCGGGCAAGCAAGUCGGUGGUGAAAGCUCUCCGCUCAACGGGGAGACUGCCGUCGAUACUGCUUGUCUUGAGUUCGAGAGAGGAUGAUGGAAUUCAUGGUGUAGCGGUGAAAUGCGUAGAGAUCAUGAAGAACACCGGUAGCGAAGGCGGUCAUCUGGCUCGAUACUGACGCUCAGGGACGAAAGCGUGGGUAGCAAACAGGAUUAGAUACCCUGGUAGUCCACGCCUUAAACGAUGGAUAUUCGGUGUCGGUCCGCAAGGAUCGGUGCCUGAGCCAACGCGUUAAAUAUCCCACCUGGGGAGUACGAUCGCAAGGUUG